GACGAACGCUGGCGGCGUGCUUAACACAUGCAAGUCGAACGGUAAGGCCCUGCUUUUGUGGGGUGCUCGAGUGGCGAACGGGUGAGUAACACGUGAGUAACCUGCCCUUGACUUUGGGAUAACUUCAGGAAACUGGGGCUAAUACCGGAUAGGAGCUCCUGCUGCAUGGUGGGGGUUGGAAAGUUUCGGCGGUUGGGAUGGACUCGCGGCUUAUCAGCUUGUUGGUGGGGUAGUGGCUUACCAAGGCUUUGACGGGUAGCCGGCCUGAGAGGGUGACCGGCCACAUUGGGACUGAGAUACGGCCCAGACUCCUACGGGAGGCAGCAGUGGGGAAUAUUGCACAAUGGGCGGAAGCCUGAUGCAGCAACGCCGCGUGCGGGAUGACGGCCUUCGGGUUGUAAACCGCUUUCGCCUGUGACGAAGCGUGAGUGACGGUAAUGGGUAAAGAAGCACCGGCUAACUACGUG
rnacentral:rRNA from 1 species